rnacentral:rRNA from 1 species
UGGGGGAUAUUGCACAAUGGGCGAAAGCCUGAUGCAGCGACGCCGCGUGGGGGAUGAAGGCCUUCGGGUUGUAAACUUCUUUUGCUCUGAACAAGGCGCACCAUGGGGUGUGUUGAGUGUAGGGGUUGAUUAGCGCCGGCUAACUACGUGCCAGCAGCCGCGGUAAUACGUAGGGCGCGAGCGUUGUCCGGAAUUAUUGGGCGUAAAGGGCUUGUAGGUGGUUGGUUGCGUCUGUCGUGAAAGCUCAUGGCUUAACUGUGGGUUUGCGGUGGGUACGGGCUGGCUUGAGUGCAGUAGGGGAGGCUGGAAUUCCUGGUGUAGCGGUGGAAUGCGCAGAUAUCAGGAGGAAUACCGGUGGCGAAGGCGGGUCUCUGGGCUGUUACUGACACUGAGGAGCGAAAGCAUGGGGAGCGAACAGG